AAAUCAAUCAUAGGGCAUGUCUCUAUUGGCACAUGAUAUAUGGUGAUAUUUCAUUUCACUUGGAGGCUCCAGAAAUUCACUUGCCAAAGGAGAGCUGCCCUGUGAGUGUUUU
rnacentral:pre_miRNA from 1 species